GGAAUAUUGGACAAUGGGGGGAACCCUGAUCCAGCCAUGCCGCGUGUGUGAAGAAGGCCUUUUGGUUGUAAAGCACUUUAAGCGAGGAGGAGGCUCCCAGUAUUAAUACUACUGGAGAGUGGACGUUACUCGCAGAAUAAGCACCGGCUAACUCUGUGCCAGCAGCCGCGGUAAUACAGAGGGUGCAAGCGUUAAUCGGAUUUACUGGGCGUAAAGCGUGCGUAGGUGGCCAAUUAAGUCAAAUGUGAAAUCCCCGAGCUUAACUUGGGAAUUGCAUUCGAUACUGGUUGGCUAGAGUAUGGGAGAGGAUGGUAGAAUUCCAGGUGUAGCGGUGAAAUGCGUAGAGAUCUGGAGGAAUACCGAUGGCGAAGGCAGCCAUCUGGCCUAAUACUGACACUGAGGUACGAAAGCAUGGGGAGCAAACAGGAUUAGAUACCCCAG
rnacentral:rRNA from 1 species